GUAGGUGGCAAGCGUUGUCCGGAAUUAUUGGGCGUAAAGCGCGCGCAGGGCGGUCCUUUAAGUCUGAUGUGAAAGCCCACGGCUCAACCGUGGAGGGUCAUUGGAAACUGGGGGACUUGAGUACAGAAGAGGAAAGCGGAAUUCCAAGUGUAGCGGUGAAAUGCGUAGAGAUUUGGAGGAACACCAGUGGCGAAGGCGGCUUUCUGGUCUGUAACUGACGCUGAGGCGCGAAAGCGUGGGGAGCAAACAGGAUUAGAUACCCUGGUAGUCCACGCCGUAAACGAUGUGUGCUAAGUGUUAGGGGGUUUCCGCCCCUUAGUGCUGCAGCUAACGCAUUAAGCACUCCGCCUGGGGAGUACGGCCGCAAGGCUG
rnacentral:rRNA from 1 species